GUUUCUCAGUCGUGUGUGACACUUGGCACCCCAUGAACGAUGGCCCACCAGGCUGCUCUGUCCAUGGGAAUUCUCCAGGCAAGAAUACUGCAGUGAGUUGCCAUUUCCUUCUCCAGGGGAUCUUCCUGAACCAGGGAUCGA